UACGGAGGGGGCUAGCGUUGUUCGGAAUUACUGGGCGUAAAGCGCUCGUAGGCGGCUUUUUAAGUUAGAGGUGAAAGCCCGGGGCUCAACCCCGGAAUUGCCUUUAAGACUGCAUCGCUUGAGUCCGGGAGAGGUGAGUGGAAUUCCGAGUGUAGAGGUGAAAUUCGUAGAUAUUCGGAAGAACACCAGUGGCGAAGGCGGCUCACUGGACCGGCAUUGACGCUGAGGUGCGAAAGCGUGGGGAGCAAACAGG
rnacentral:rRNA from 1 species